AUUGAACGCUGGCGGCAGGCCUAACACACGCAAGUCGAACGAGUGGCGGACGGGUGAGUAAUGUCUGGGAACCUGCCUGAUGGAGGGGGAUAACUACUGGAAACGGUAGCUAAUACCGCAUACCAUCGGAUGUGCCCAGAUGGGAUUAGCUAGUCGGUGGGGUAACGGCUCACAUAGGCGACGAUCCCUAACUGGUCUGAGAAGAUAACCAGCCGCUCUGCACCAAAGACACGAUCCAGACUCCCACAGGAGGCAGCGGUGGCGAAUAUUGCACAAGAGGCGCAAGGCUGCUGCAGCGAUGCCGCGUGUAUGAAGAAGGCCUGCGGGUUGUAGGGUACUUUCAGCGGGGAGGCGAUACCCGCAGAAGAAGCGCCGGCUAAGUCCGUGCCAGAUGCGGCGGUAAUAA
rnacentral:rRNA from 1 species